UACAGGGGGGGCAAGCGUUAUUCGGAAUUAUUGGGCGUAAAGAGCGUGUAGGCGGCUCUGCAAGUCCUGCGUGAAAUCUCGAGGCUCAACCUCGAGCGGUCGUGGGAAACUGGAGGGCUAGAGUGCGGGAGAGGGAAGUGGAAUUCCAGGUGUAGCGGUGAAAUGCGCAGAUAUCUGGAAGAACACCCGUGGCGAAGGCGGCUUCCUGGAACGACACUGACGCUGAGACGCGAAAGCGUGGGGAGCAAACAGG
rnacentral:rRNA from 1 species